UACGUAGGUGGCGAACGUUGUCCGGAUUUACUGGGCGUAAAGCGCGCGCAGGCGGAUUGGUAAGUCUGAAGUGAAAUCUCCCGGCUCAACCGGGAGGGUGCUUUGGAUACUGCUAGUCUUGAGGUGCCUAGAGGAGAGUGGAAUUCCCGGUGUAGUGGUGGAAUGCGUAGAUAUCGGGAGGAACACCAGUGGCGAAAGCGACUCUCUGGGGGCGACCUGACGCUGAGGCGCGAAAGCGUGGGGAGCGAACCGG
rnacentral:rRNA from 1 species